AGGUGUGAUCCAAGGUUCUGCAAGGAAAAGGAAGGAUGGUGUGGAGUGUGUUGCUGCAGGGAAGGCUUCCCAGUGGAGGUGGCUCCUGAGCUCUAGGAAAAGGGAAGUGAGUGUCCUUCCAGGCAGAGGGAACAGCAGGUGCAAAGGCCUGGGGGCUCGUCUAUAAGCACCAGAGGUCUGAGGCCCUGCAGGAUGGAUGGCUGAGACAUUGCUGCUGGGAAGGAGCUUGUGGGGGGUCUUGCGCCCCAGAGGCCCGCUGGAGUCACAAGCCCCAUCCCAGACUCUCCAACGCUGGACCUGCAGCGCCCAGCCCUGCCCUGGUGCUACCACCUGCCAGCUCUGUGCCUGCCCCUCCACUAGAUCAUGACUUCGGCUCCAGCUCCCUCACUCUCCAUGCCUCUCACUUGCGGGUUGUGCCCUGCUCAGCUGGCCAGACUUUGGCCCCCUCCCUACCUGGAUUUGUGAAGCCCCAAAUUUCAUCUCCCCCACCACACUUAUUCACAGCCUCCGCCUGCUGACAUACCCAGGCAAGACUCCCUUCCCCUCCAGGCAGCCAAACUUCAGUUCGAAUCUUCUGGCUCUUACCAGACCCCUGAUGAAUCCCAGGAUCUUCGCAGGUGGUCCCAGGGCCUCUUUGAACCACAGUUUUACUUAUCUGAAAAAUAAAAAGGCAUGAUUUAGAU
rnacentral:lncRNA from 1 species